rnacentral:lncRNA from 1 species
AUGGCGCCGAAGGCGAAGAAGGAAGCCCCUGCUCCUCCUAAAGCUGAAGCCAAAGCAAAGGCUUUGAAGGCCAAGAAAGCAGUGUUGAAAGGUGUCCACAGCCACAAAAAAAAAGAAGAUCCGGAUGUCGCCCACCUUCCGGCGGCCCAAAACACUGCGGCUCAGGAGGCAGCCCAAAUAUCCUCUGAAGAGCGCCCCUAGGAGAAACAAACUUGUCCACUAUGCCAUCAUCAAAUUCCCCCUCACCACCGAGUCAGCCAUGAAGAAAAUAGAAGACAACAACACACUGGUAUUCAUUGUGGAUGUCAAGGCCAACAAGCACCAAAUUAAACAGGCUGUGAAGAAGCUCUAUGACAUUGACGUGGCUAAGGUCAAUACUCUGAUCAGGCCUGAUGGAGAGAAGAAGGCAUAUGUUCGACUGGCUCCUGACUAUGAUGCUUUGGAUGUUGCCAACAAAAUUGGCAUCAUCUAA